rnacentral:rRNA from 1 species
UACGUAGGGGGCAAGCGUUAUCCGGAUUUACUGGGUGUAAAGGGAGCGUAGACGGCAGAGCAAGUCUGAAGUGAAAGCCCGCGGCCCAACUGCGGAACUGCUUUGGAAACUGCCCGGCUAGAGUGCUGGAGAGGUAAGCGGAAUUCCUAGUGUAGCGGUGAAAUGCGUAGAUAUUAGGAGGAACACCAGUGGCGAAGGCGGCUUACUGGACAGUAACUGACGUUGAGGCUCGAAAGCGUGGGGAGCAAACAGG